UACAGAGGUGGCAAGCGUUGUUCGGAAUUACUGGGCGUAAAGGGCGCGUAGGCGGUUUCGUAAGUCCUGUGUGAAAGCCCCCGGCUCAACUGGGGAACUGCACGGGAAACUGCGAGGCUUGAGUUCGGGAGAGGGAAGCGGAAUUCCGGGUGUAGCGGUGAAAUGCGUAGAUAUCUGGAGGAACACCGGUGGCGAAGGCGACAUCCUGGACCAACACUGACGCUGAGGAGCGAAAGCCAGGGGAGCAAACGGG
rnacentral:rRNA from 1 species